AUGGAUCAGUCAAAGAAAGGGUUCUUGCCUAUGUUACAAGGUGUGAAGUUGAGUCAGACUCAAUGCCCGACCACUGCAGAAGAUAGAGAGAAAAUGAAAGUCAUUUCCUAUGCUUCAGCCAUAGGUUCUAUCAUGUAUGCAAUGUUGUGUACCAGACCUGAUGUGUGCCUUGCUAUAAGUAUAGCAGGGAGGUACCAAAGUAAUCCCGGAGUGGAGCACUGGACAACGGUCAAGAACAUCCUGAAAUACCUGAAAAGGACUAAGGAUAUGUUUCUCGUUUAUGGGGUGACAAAGAGCUUGUCAUAA
rnacentral:rRNA from 1 species